UACAGAGGGGGCAAGCGUUGUUCGGAAUUACUGGGCGUAAAGGGCGCGUAGGCGGCCUGCUAAGUCGAACGUGAAAUCCCCGAGCUCAACUCGGGAACUGCGUCCGAUACUGGCAGGCUUGAAUCCGGGAGAGGGAUGCGGAACUCCAGGUGUAGCGGUGAAAUGCGUAGAUAUCUGGAGGAACACCGGUGGCGAAGGCGGCAUCCUGGACCGGCAUUGACGCUGAGGCGCGAAAGCCAGGGGAGCAAACGGG
rnacentral:rRNA from 1 species